rnacentral:rRNA from 1 species
UAAUACGGAGGGUGCAAGCGUUAUCCGGAUUCACUGGGUUUAAAGGGUGCGUAGGCGGGCAGGUAAGUCAGUGGUGAAAUCUUCGAGCUUAACUCGGAAACUGCCGUUGAUACUAUCUGUCUUGAAUAUCGUUGAGGUGAGCGGAAUAUGUCAUGUAGCGGUGAAAUGCUUAGAUAUGACAUAGAACACCGAUUGCGAAGGCAGCUCACUAACCGAUCAUUGACGCUGAGGCACGAAAGCGUGGGGAUCAAACAGGAUUAGAUACCCUGGUAGUCCACGCCCUAAACGAUGAUUACUCGACAUACGCGAUAAACUGUGUGUGUCUGAGCGAAAGCAUUAAGUAAUCCACCUGGGAAGUACGACCGCAAGGUUG